rnacentral:misc_RNA from 1 species
GUUUUCCUUUCUCUUAUAACUCCAAAGCCUCCUCUCUCUCUUUUUCUGCCUCCUUUCACUUUCUGUUCUCUGAUAAAUCACUAUCACAGCUCUUCUUUUAUUUUUCUCAUUAGAAAUAACGGUUUCUCUUAACUCUUUGUUUGUUUGUUUGAAUUGUCGUUGCAGAGAGAAAAUGGCGGUCAGUUCCAGAGCAAGAAACGCAGAGUUGCUUCAGGUUUCCAGGAAGUUUAAGGACAGAGACGCCACUCCUGAAAGAACCAAACUCUGGGUUGAACCUAAAACCAGAAACGCUACUGCGAGGAAAGUUCCUGUUCUUUACUAUCUUUCUAGAAAUGGC